AAUAGAAACGGUCGAGAAAGAAUUAUUAUUUGACAACGAAUCCCUCAAGUAAAGUAAGUAUAAUAAGGGAAUCCUAAAUAUUGAACUUCCCUGAGUAAAAACCGUUGAUGCUGAAUCAAAAUAUUCCUAUUUCGGGUUCUUUUAAACUUUUUUUAUGGAAAAGGACAUGUUCCUUAAAUUCGUCGGCUAGGUAAAUGUUAAAAAAUUUAUGCGAGAUUACAAUGUCAAUGUCACUUGAUAAAGUAAUCCACAGUAAAGUUUACAAUGAUUAAACAGAACAUUGCAAACGAUGUUUGAAGUUAUAGGGAUUUUUACGUUGAAAUUAAACGGGUGGUUUGUCGCCUCAAAUUCACAUGGUCUAUCUCUGAUACGUCCGAUAUUGCUACUGAUUUUAGGAAAUUAUACUGGUUUGUUGCAUUCAUCAACGCCUUGAACACUGAAUUAAAUCUUCUCUUUUUUUAAACUAAUUCGCACUUCAUAUUUCCCGCUAUCUCCCAUUGAUUCAUAAA
rnacentral:lncRNA from 1 species